rnacentral:rRNA from 1 species
UGGGGAAUAUUGCACAAUGGGCGCAAGCCUGAUGCAGCCAUGCCGCGUGUAUGAAGAAGGCCUUCGGGUUGUAAAGUACUUUCAGUCGGGAGGAAGGUGUCAAGGUUAAUAACCUUGGCAAUUGACGUUACCGACAGAAGAAGCACCGGCUAACUCCGUGCCAGCAGCCGCGGUAAUACGGAGGGUGCGAGCGUUAAUCGGAAUUACUGGGCGUAAAGCGCACGCAGGCGGUUGAUUGAGUCAGAUGUGAAAUCCCCGGGCUUAACCCGGGAAUUGCAUCUGAUACUGGUCAGCUAGAGUCUUGUAGAGGGGGGUAGAAUUCCAUGUGUAGCGGUGAAAUGCGUAGAGAUGUGGAGGAAUCCCGGUGGCGAAGGCGGCCCCCUGGACAAAGACUGACGCUCAGGUGCGAAAGCGUGGGGAGCAAACAGG